UACGGGGGGGGCAAGCGUUGUUCGGAAUUACUGGGCGUAAAGGGCUCGUAGGCGGCCAACUAAGUCAGACGUGAAAUCCCUCGGCUUAACCGGGGAACUGCGUCUGAUACUGGAUGGCUUGAGGUUGGGAGAGGGAUGCGGAAUUCCAGGUGUAGCGGUGAAAUGCGUAGAUAUCUGGAGGAACACCGGUGGCGAAGGCGGCAUCCUGGACCAAAUCUGACGCUGAGGAGCGAAAGCGUGGGGAGCAAACAGG
rnacentral:rRNA from 1 species